GUACUUGGUUCAGCAGCACAUACUUUAAAAUUGGAUCAAUAGCGGAUAAGCAUAAGCGUGGCUGCUGCCUGAGGAUGGCUCACAAAUUCAUAAAGCAUUCCAUAUUUUG
rnacentral:snRNA from 1 species